UAUAUGGCCUCUGGAUUGGACUGCGGCCGAUCAGGCAGUUGGUGAGGUAAUGGCCCACCAAACCUGUUACCGGUACGGGCUCUGAGAGGAGGAGCCCGGAGAUGGGCACUGAGACAAGGGCCCAGGCCCUAUGGGGCGCAGCAGGCGCGAAACCUCUGCAAUAGGCGAAAGCCUGACAGGGUUACUCUGAGUGAUUCCCGCUAAGGGGAUCUUUUGGCACCUCUAAAAAUGGUGCAGAAUAAGGGGUGGGCAAGUCUGGUGUCAGCCGCCGCGGUAAUACCAGCACCCCGAGUGGUCGGGACGAUUAUUGGGCCUAAAGCAUCCGUAGCCGGUCAUGCAAGUCCUCCGUUAAAUCCACCUGCUCAACAGAUGGGCUGCGGAGGAUACUACAAGGCUAGGAGGCGGAAGAGGCAAGCGGUACUCAGUGGGUAGGGGUAAAAUCCUCUGAUCCAUUGAAGACCACCAGUGGCGAAGGCGGCUUGCCAAUACGCGCUCGACGGUGAGGGAUGAAAGCUGGGGGAGCAAACCGGAUUAGAUACCCGGGUAGUCCCAGCUGUAAACGAUGCAGACUCGGUGAUGGGCCGGCUUUAUGCCGGCUCAGUGCCGCAGGGAAGCCGUUAAGUCUGCCGCCUGGGGAGUACGGUCGCAAGACUGAAACUUAAAGGAAUUGGCGGGGGAGCACC
rnacentral:rRNA from 1 species